rnacentral:RNase_P_RNA from 1 species
AAUUAUUCAAUGAGGAAAGUCCGGGCUCCACCGGAAAAGAUGCCGGAUAAUUACCGGGCAGUAUUCAGAUAAUGUUCAUUCAUAAGCUGAAUAUUGACAGAAAGUGCAGCAGAAAAUAAACCGCUUCUUUUGAAGUAAGGGUGAAAAGGCAGUGUAAGAGACUACCGCCUGUCAUGGUAACAUUCAGGGCAGUGCAAACCUCAUCUGGAGCAAGAUUGAACAGAAGUACAGUUUUCCGGGCUGCUUCGGGUAAAUCGCUGGAAGUGCAGGGUAAUCUGCAUUCAGGAUAGAUGAUUAUGGCAUUUAGCUUACAGAACCCGGCUUAUUGUUCCGUCU